GAUGAACGCUGGCGGCGUGCCUAAUACAUGCAAGUCGAGCGAACAGACGAGGAGCUUGCUCCUCUGACGUUAGCGGCGGACGGGUGAGUAACACGUGGAUAACCUACCUAUAAGACUGGGAUAACUUCGUGAAACCGGAGCUAAUACCGGAUAAUAUAUUGAACCGCAUGGUUCAAUAGUGAAAGACGGUUUUGCUGUCACUUAUAGAUGGUUCCGGGCCGCAUUAGCUAGUUGGUAAGGUAACGGCUUACCAAGGCAACGAUGCGUAGCCGAUCUGAGAGGGUGAUCGGCCACCCUGGAACUGAGACACGGUCCAGACUCCUACGGGAGGCAGCAGUAGGGAAUCUUACGCAAUGGGGGAAAGCCUGACGGAGCAACGCCGCGUGAGUGAUGAAGGUCUUCGGAUCGUAAAACUCUGUUAUUAGGGAAGAACAAAUGUGUAAGUAACUAUGCACGUAUUGACGGUACCUAAUCAGAAAGCCACGGCUAACUACGUG
rnacentral:rRNA from 1 species